GUCUCUACUAUUCAUUAACUCGAAGGGAGAAACGGAGAGAUUCAAGUUUAAAAUAAGCCGUCUUGGAACGCAACCUCCUGAAUCUUUUGCAUAAAGCACUUGAGACUUAUAAUCAAUUUCAUGGACGAGAAGUUUCCAUGAAUUUGGUAGCUCCAGCACAGUUUCAUUCUUCUCCGAGCAAGAAAGAUAAAACCCAGGUUGAGAAUAGCCACAGUGGUUUGGUUGCUUGCCUCUGAUUUGGAAGGGAAAUCGAACUGGCGGUCCGAAGCUCGCACAUGAUGAUGUAUUGCAAUCAUUAAAGCCUAAUCCAUGAUCUACGAUGAGUAUAAUGAACCAGAAGUAACAAAGCAAACAAUUAACCAUUUCAAAUGAAAAAUAUUCAGCAAUGCCUUGUCUAACACAUGUCUCGAGCCAUUCAAUUGUUUUGCUUUAUCCUACAGGACAAUACUCACAUUUCAUUGAUCUGUUUUUCUCUCUCAAAUCAGU
rnacentral:misc_RNA from 1 species